rnacentral:rRNA from 1 species
CCGAACCCACGCACGUUGAAAAGUGCGGGGAUGAGGUGUGGGUAGCGGAGAAAUUCCAAUCGAACUUGGAGAUAGCUGGUUCUCUCCGAAAUAGCUUUAGGGCUAGCCUCGAGGUAAAGAGUCAUGGAGGUAGAGCACUGUUUGGACUAGGGGCCCUUCUCGGGUUACCGAAUUCAGAUAAACUCCGAAUGCCAUGUACUUAUACUCGGGAGUCAGACUGCGAGUGAUAAGAUCCGUAGUCGAAAGGGAAACAGCCCAGACCACCAGUUAAGGUCCCCAAAUAUAUGUUAAGUGGAAAAGGAUGUGGGGUUGCUUAGACAACCAGGAUGUUGGCUUAGAAGCAGCCACCAUUGAAAGAGUGCGUAAUAGCUCACUGGUCGAGUGACCCCGCGCCGAAAAUGUACCGGGGCUAAACAUAUUACCGAAACUGUGGAUGAACCUCUUUAGAGGUUCGUGGUAGGAGAGCGUUCUAAGGGCGGUGAAGUCAGACCGGAAGGACUGGUGGAGCGCUUAGAAGUGAGAAUGCCGGUAUGAGUAGCGAAAGAAGGGUGAGAAUCCCUUCCACCGAAUAUCUAAGGUUUCCUGAGGAAGGCUCGUCCGCUCAGGGUUAGUCGGGACCUAAGCCGAGGCCGAUAGGCGUAGGCGAUGGACAACAGGUAGAGAUUCCUGUACCAGUGCUAAUUGUUUAACCGAUGGGGUGACACAGAAGGAUAGGGAAUCGCACGAAUGGAAAUGUGCGUCCAAGCAGUGAGUGUGAGAAGUAGGCAAAUCCGCUUCUCGCGAAGCAUGAGCUGUGAUGGGGAAGGAAAUUAAGUACGGAAGUUCCUGAUUUCACGCUGUCAAGAAAAGCCUCUAGGAAGAGUAGUACUGCCCGUACCGCAAACCGACACAGGUAGAUGAGGAGAGAAUCCUAAGGUGAGCGAGAGAACUCUCGUUAAGGAACUCGGCAAAAUGACCCCGUAACUUCGGGAGAAGGGGUGCUCUAUUAGGGUGCAAGCCCGAGAGAGCCGCAGUGAAUAGGCCCAGGCGACUGUUUAGCAAAAACACAGGUCUCUGCAAAACCGUAAGGUGACGUAUAGGGGCUGACGCCUGCCCGGUGCUGGAAGGUUAAGAGGAGUGCUUAGCUUCGGCGAAGGUACGAAUUGAAGCCCCAGUAAACGGCGGCCGUAACUAUAACGGUCCUAAGGUAGCGAAAUUCCUUGUCGGGUAAGUUCCGACCCGCACGAAAGGCGCAACGAUCUGGGCACUGUCUCAACGAGAGACUCGGUGAAAUUAUAGUACCUGUGAAGAUGCAGGUUACCCGCGACAGGACGGAAAGACCCCGUGGAGCUUUACUGCAACCUGAUAUGGAAUGUUUGUACCGCUUGUACAGGAUAGGUAGGAGCCGAAGAGACGUGUGCGCUAGCAUACGAGGAGGCAAUGGUGGGAUACUACCCUGGCUGUAUGACCAUUCUAACCCGCCACGCUUAGCGCGUGGGGAGACAGUGUCAGGUGGGCAGUUUGACUGGGGCGGUCGCCUCCUAAAGAGUAACGGAGGCGCCCAAAGGUUCCCUCAGAAUGGAUGGAAAUCAUUCGCAGAGUGUAAAGGCACAAGGGAGCUUGACUGCGAGACUGACAAGUCGAGCAGGGACGAAAGUCGGGCUUAGUGAUCCGGUGGUUCCGCAUGGAAGGGCCAUCGCUCAACGGAUAAAAGCUACCCCGGGGAUAACAGGCUUAUCUCCCCCAAGAGUCCACAUCGACGGGGAGGUUUGGCACCUCGAUGUCGGCUCGUCGCAUCCUGGGGCUGUAGUCGGUCCCAAGGGUUGGGCUGUUCGCCCAUUAAAGCGGCACGCGAGCUGGGUUCAGAACGUCGUGAGACAGUUCGGUCCCUAUCCGUCGCGGGCGCAGGAAAUUUGAGAGGAGCUGUCCUUAGUACGAGAGGACCGGGAUGGACACACCGCUGGUGUACCAGUUGUUCCGCCAGGAGCAUCGCUGGGUAGCUAUGUGUGGCAGGGAUAAACGCUGAAAGCAUCUAAGCGUGAAGCCCCCCUCAAGAUGAGAUUUCCCAUUUCUUCGGAAAGUAAGAUCCCUGAAAGAUGAUCAGGUAGAUAGGUUUGGAGUGGAAGUGUAGCGAUACAUGGAGCGGACAAAUACUAAUCGAUCGAGGACUUAACCAA